rnacentral:lncRNA from 1 species
UUCUGAUAAACUCGGCCCAGAUGUCAUCUGUUGGUGAUUGAUUUAUUUGUGGUUGCUUGACGCAAAUGUAUAAAAUUUGUCAAAAAUAUAUUAGGGACCAAAAUGAGCCGAGUAAAAAAAGAAUAACAGUUACACUUACCUGUUUGUGUUGAAAUUUCUUUUUUGUCUUCUUUGCAGACACCAUCGUCUUCACUACUGGAGCUACUUUUUAGCAGUCUGAAAACGAAAAUGAAGUAAUGGAAUUUAGGUGAUAAAUGCAUUUCAGGACUGCAAAAAAGAGCUGUUCAAAAUAAAGGAAUUUUGAUAUCACAUACAAUUCAGAACCAUGGAAGUAAGACAGAUGCGUCCUACAGAUGGGCUGUACUAUAAAAGGCUAUUUUGUGCCAUUUUUCUCAGAUUUACAAAGGUACAACAUCAAUGUCAAUACUCUGCAACAACAAAAAAGCAGUUGAAAUCACGGAAACAAGUCUGGACAAGGAAGUUAAUUUCAAGUCUAACGAUGAAAACUUGCUGAUGGGUACUACAAAAGCUAGAUGAGGAGCGAGUUGUACCUAAUUGAUCGCUAGAAUGAAGCAGCUUCACAUCAUGCAUUAAAUCAGUUUUGUAACUUGAUUUUAACAGAUUAUAAAGCUGACCAAGUCCUGAGGAUGAAAAAUUUGGCAUUGAAUAUAAAAUAACCACUAUCUGCAGCCUGAUUGUUGAAAUUUAUGUCGGCACGACAAGAAUCGAAAAUCGAUAUAUUACACAGCGCAGAUAGGGCUAUGUCUUAUCUUAUCGUGCCGACAAAGCCAGUUAAAGUUUCAACAAUCAGGCUGCAGACUCUGGAAUCAAAUACACGGCCAUAGCUCAAGCAUCUCGGUGGCCAGAAUUUGAAAUCACAUACCUCUGUUUGCAGCAUUGCAGACUUCCUGUCAAAAUUUAUUUUUUCUUUGAAAAUCUAGUCAACUUAAUUUCUUAAAAACUGGUUUUCCUUCUGUAUAAGCAGAAUAUUUUAUGAAAAUUUCAGUCCAUUAAGUUGGGUAGUUAGCUGCUCUUUGAAAAAAUAAAGUAGGAGCAGAAAUUUUGUGACACCGCAAUAGAGAUACAUGGUUUCACAAUUUGAUUAGCAAUAUUUUUAUGGGCGUGUAAACCUCUGAUAUUUCAAAAAGUUAAUGUCCAAGGGAAAAGAACAUUGGCAGAAAAUCAAGGCAAAAUUUUCAAAAUUCAUUUGCUGACACCACUGCAUUACCAUGGUGAAACUACAGGGAUGCGACUCUCAGUUCACGACAUUGCAGACUUUCUAUCAUACCUACUUCAUUUUAUAGAAAUCAAACUACUCAACUUCAUUUCUUGAGUACUUGAGUAAAUUGUCCUCUCGGUGUGAAGAAUAUUACGUAAAAAAUUACAAGGCAUGAUGUUGGUUCAGUCUUCUUGGUAAAAAUUAAAUUGAAGGUCUCAGUACAUUUAUCCUUCUUCUGCAUCCAAAUAAAGAGCUGAAAAUGCUGUCAUCUCACAGACUAAUAAGAAGGUUAAAUGAUCGAUGCUUUAGGAUUACUAUAAUCACAUUUUAAAAUUAACAAAAGUGUGAACCAUGUCUUCGGUGAAAAGUAAAAGAUGAGUCGUGCUACCUACCUUGCGAGCUUCUAACUGCUCUUCUAUGAGACGCACAGUGGGGUCGAUCAAGUGAGCAUUCAGAUAUUGUUUUAUCCAUGGCUGAAUUACUCUUAAAAUACUCAUGGUAUUACUAACAUCCACCUAGAACAUUGAGAAAGUGAGUACUUAAAGUGAUACAAUAACAAAGUAUGAGUUUGCUUGAUAAAUUGAAUGGUGAAAUAAUAUGAAGGCAUGCAUUAAUUAAAAAGUUAGACACAUGGAGUGAGAGAGUGAGGAAGCUUUCCGAUCAUGCACUCACGGUCACAUGGACGCACUCAAAUGAAAAAGAGGCGAAGCUGCGUAAACAAAUGUGCUCUAAUGUGCAUGUAAGAUUGAGUUGCUGCUCUUCACUGCAAAACACUCCAAAUUGAAGCAUAAAAUUAUAAUUAUGUAAGGAUCUGAAAUUCUGGAGGAAGUAGCACCAGAUGACACAUGACCCUUUGAGCCCUCGGUUUUCACGCGUCCACCCGUGACCCCGGCACUCUGUAGAAGUAGUCUAAAGUUGUGGUUCAGAUCCUUCCCGACAGAAUUCAUACGCUACAUGACUUGAUACGCUGAUUAUAGUGUGAGUUAGAGGGGAAUCUCUGGCCAGCUGUCGCAAUACAAGUUAACUCGUGCAUAGGCCCAAAAGAGAUAAAAAUUGUGACAUACUUAUAGACAAAGAGGAGAUUUUCAUAAACCAACAACUUUCGUAUUUGAACAUGGCGAUGAAAGUCACCGUAACACCACAUAAUUGACGUUAUUUGAUUGUGAAAAACACGAAGCCGAGAUGUUAUGAAGAUGCUUAUAUUAAUUCAGGGACAAAGCUUCUCGACCUCUAUGGUCAUUAUCAAGGCAAACACUAACUACAUGAAGCAAUAUUCUUUGGAAAAGACAAAAUACAAUAUUUUCUUUUUACUUUUACUUCUACCUGUUCUCACUAUCAAUCAAAUGUGUGCUUCCUCUUUUUAACUAUUUUUAAACAUGUAUUUGACCUUUCAACUUCUUGUAUGCCAGUAAUUUCAUUAGCUAAUUGUUUUUAUUUUAUCUUUGCCUUAGACUAUUGCUUUAUGAAGUUUGUAUUCGCCUUGAUAAUGACCAUAAAGGUCGAAAAGCUUCGUCUCUGAAUUAAUAAAAACAUCUUCAUAACACCUCGGCUUUGGGUUUUUCACAAUCAAAUUUC